GGGGUUGUGGCUCAGUGGUAGAGUGCUUGCCUAGCAUGCAUGAGGAUGUUCGAUCCCCAGCACCA
rnacentral:tRNA from 1 species